rnacentral:tRNA from 1 species
AAGGCACUAAUAAAACAUCCAUUAUGCUGCCUCGUCAAGGCAGAUUUGUGGGUUUAAACCCCACGUGCCUUA